ACAGUUUCGAGCGCGAUGAUGGCGAAGUGGAGACGAACCGAAAGCAUUUUCUACACACUCCUGCUAUAUAUCUCACUCCUUACGCACAGCGGCUUCAUCCAUGGCCGCAGCUUUGGUUGGUGGUGCUUUUCUCUCUGCUUUUCUUCAAGUGGCUUUUGACAGGCUGGCAUCUCGUGGUGUCCUCGACUUCUUCAAGAACCGAAAAUUGAACGAAACAUUACUGAAUAAGUUGAAGAUCGUGCUGUUAUCCAUCGAUGCUGUGUUUGAUGAUGCAGAGCAAAAGCAGAUCACUAAUACAAAGGUGAAGGACUGGAUUUAUAUGGUCAAAGAUGCUGAGGAUGUCUUGGACGAGAUUGAUUAUGAAGUGCUCAAGCGCAAGGUGGAAGCCGAACAUCAGAGUAAAACCAGUGCUACAGCCAAGGAGAUCAGUGUUCAUCAGCUUUGUUUGAUGGAAAUGGCUCAAAAUCACUUGGUUUCCAUUGUUGCUGAAUUUGACAUUUGAGUCAUUUUUCAUUGCCGUUGAAGGGUCGCAAGCUGGGAACAAACAUGUAUGGUGUUGCUACAACUCCAAACUCUGGUGCCUGGAUAGACUAAACUCUAGAACGUACAGCAUGUUUUUAUACAGUGUUGGGCAAAGUAUGCUACCGCGCUGUGAUAGGCUAAGACAUAUAAGAAAUCAAAGGGAAUCACUCGACUUAAAGGUCCAUAUUACUUCUUUGAAACGCAGCUAGAGAAGGGGCAAAAUAUGAAUCAGACCUAAUGUACUCAGGGAAAUGAAAGCUCUACCAAAGUGUGAGAUAGCUGAGUUGCAGCAAGGUAGGAACCAAUGUCAAACAUCAUUUGUCACAACUCAAAAAUUAGGUGUGAACGACUUGGAACAUGAGAUAACUCAUAUCCCUAAAGUUUUUAAUAACUAGAAACACUUGCUA